rnacentral:lncRNA from 1 species
UGGCCAAUCCAAAAUGACAUGUGCAAAAACGAUAUCUACAGCUACAGAUGAGUCUCUGAAGAAAUUAGAGACACAAUUACAACAAUACAUGGUUACAAGUGAUGAAAGGUUUAAAAAUCUGGGAAAGAAAUUAGAGCUGUUAGUAGAGAAGUUGCUUACUCCUCAGGAUGGGCUUCUAGGUAGCGCGCCAAUGGAGAAUCUCACAAAUGUUGGGCCAAUCACUAGGCAAUGGUUGGGAGAGAACAGAGACAUCACAGGAGGAAGGAAUCAAGGCCACUCUUCUCAAUCUCGAGUGGAAAUGCCCUAUUUUGAUGGAGUAGAUCCCUGUGCUUGGCUGAGGAAAUGCGAAAGAUUUUUCUAGCACAAUAAGAUUGUUGAUCCACAGCAGAAGCUUGAAGAGGCAGUCCUUCAUCUCAGUGGUAAGGCUAAAUCCUGGUUCUUUUUCUAUCACAUAAGUAAAUGAGUAGUUAGAUGGACAGAUUUUACUACUAAAAUUUGUAGUAGGUUUGUGGGUGCAUCCAAUUGAUAAUUUAAUCUAAUAGGAGAAUUCAAAAAAUUAGAGCAAAUAGGGACAGUAGAUGAAUAUUUGGAGACAUUUGAGGAACUUAAAGCUUGGGUACUGAUAAGAAGUUCUACUAUCUAGAAGAGUUCUUUCUUGAAUUUUUCAUUGAAGUCUUAAAGGAGGAAAUUAAGCAUAUAAUUAAAAUUUUGGACCCUUACUCACUUAGUAAAGUAGUGGAGAAGGCUAGGCUUAAGGAGAACCUAUUGGAAACUAUUACUAAGGUUGGGAAAUCACAAGGGAACAAAGGAACAUAUGCAGGUUAUUACUCCUAACCUUCUAAGAGUGCAACUGGGGUUUCUAGCUAUGCUAAUAACAUGUUGUUUGAGAGUAGAAAGGCUCAAGGCUUGUGUUACAAGUGUGGGGAGAAAUACCACCCUGGUCAUAUAUGUAAGUCAAGGCCGCUGAAUGCAAUAUCAGCUGCUACAGAAGAGAACUUGGAGGAGGUCCUAUAACAAGAAGAAAUAAUGGUAAUACCAGAGAAAGAGAUAGUGGAUGAGGCAAUAAGCCUAAAUGCACUGUCAGGAACUGAAGUACCCAAUACCAUUAAGCCGAUAGAUGAAGCUAAGAAGAAUUCCUUAAAUAUUUUGUUGGAUUCAGGGAGUACACACAGUUUCUUAGAUAUGGAAGCAGCAAAGAAGACAUGUUGCACUAUUUUGGAGGUUGUACCUAUGAGGGUGACAGUAGCAAAUGGAAACUACCUUAUGAGUUUGCACAUUUUCCAUAAAUUUAAAUGGAAGAUACAGGGAGUGGAGUUUGAAGAUUCAGUCAGAAUCACUAAACUGGGGGUAAUCAUAUGGUACUAGGAGGGGAUUGGAUGAAGAGGCAUAAUCCAUUCCUACUUGAUUUUAUGAAAUACAAGGUGCAAGUAACUCACAAGGUGAAAAGGGUAGAGCUCAAGGGGAUUUACAACUAAUUAGAGCUUAAGAGUUUAACAACAAAUGGGGUAAAGCAAUUACUUAAGAAAGGACAAGCCAUAUGGUCUCAUCUAUUUACAAUUUCAGCAGAAGAAGUAGUCGAAGCAAAUGUAGUGCCUGCAGACAUUGACAGAGUGCUGAAGCAGUAUCCAGAUGUGUUCUUGGAGCCAACCUCCUUACCUCCAAAGAGGGCUUAUGACUAUUUUAUUCCCCUGAAAGUAGAUGCAAACCCUAUAAGUAUCAGACCUUACAGAUACAGUUUUUUUUCAAAAGAAUGAGAUAGAAAAAUAGGUAAGUGAGACGCUCAAUAAUGGCAUCAUUUAACCAAGCCACUCCCCAUUUUCAUCUCCCGUUUUAUUAGUCAAGAGAAAAGAUGGGAGUUGGAGAUUUUGUAUUGACUAUAGAGCCUUAAACAACAUGACCAUUAAGAACAAGUUUCCUAUUCCCUUAGUUGAUGAUUUAAUGGAUGAGAUGUGUGGGUCAUGCAUUUACUCCAAAAUAGAUUUAAGGGCUGGUUAUCACCAAAUAAGAAUGGGAGAAAAAUACGUAUACAAAACUGCAUUUAGAAUACAUUUGGGACACUAUGAAUUCAGGGUAAUGCCUUUUGGACUGACUAAUGCCCCUGCCAAAUUUCAGUCACUAAUGAACCAUGUCUUUUAGGAUUAUCUUAGAAGGUUUGUGUUAGUGUUAUUUGAUGAUAUUUUAAUAUGCAGUUCUACUAUGGAGGAACAUGUCUUGCAUGUGAACAAAGUACUGGGAGUGUUGACGAAAGAACAAUUAUUUGCAACACUGUCCAAAUGUUCUUUUGGUCAAACAAAGGUAGAGUAUUUGGGGCACAUAAUUACAGGUGAAGGAGUGGCGAUUGAUCUUUCAAAGAUUGAAGCCAUGGCUUCCUGGCCUACCCCUAAAAAUAUUAAGGCCCUGAGGGAAUUUCUGGGGCUGACAAGUUACUAUAGGAGAUUCAUCAAGUCAUAUGGGGUUAUAAGCAGAACCCUAACCAACUUGUUGAAGAAAAGUGGAUUUCAUUGGGAUGAGGAAGCUGAGCAUUCAUUUCAGAUCCUAAAACAGGCCAUGUCUGGUAGUAUUGGCAGAUUUUAACAAAACCUUCAUAAUAGAGACUGAUGCUUAUUCUAAAGGGAUGGGGGACAUACUUAUGUAGGAGGGUAGACCUAUUGCUUUUUUCGCAAGGUUUUAGCUCCCAAACACUUGGGGCUAUCUACCUAUGAGAAGGAAUUCAUGGCUCUAUUAUCAUUUGUGGAUAAAUGGAGACACUACCUUUAAGGGGGACAUUUAAUUAUAAGAACAUACCAUCACAUCCUGAAGUAUCUCUUGGAACAAAGAGUUACCACAUACACUACAACAGAAAGGGCUUACCAAAUUACUUGGACUUGACUAUGAGGUUCAAUACAAAAAGGGGCUGAGUGGCUGAUGCACUAUCCAGGAGAGGAGAAGAGGACUCAUACUUAUUUGCCUUAUCUUCUACUGAACCUACUUGGAUGAGUGAGGUGGAGCAGAGUUAUGAGCAUGAUCCUACAGCUCAUAAAUUGAUCACUGAACUGAUAACAAGUACUCACAACAACCCCAACUACACUCUAUUGCAUGUUAUCUUGAGAUAUGAUCAGAAGAUUUACAUUGGUAAGGGAACAUACUUAAGAGCUAAGAUUUUUGAAGCACAUUCACCAAUCUCCUUUAGGAGGGCACUCUGGUCAACAUGGUACUUACAAAAGGGUGAGGAUGAUUUUCUAUUGGCCUGAUAUAAAGAGUGAUGUCUACAAAUGGGUUUCAGAGUGUCACAUAUGCCACAGAGUGAAGACUGAGAAUAUACAUACGCCUGGCUUACUACAACCUCUACCAAUCCCUGAUUUGCCAUGGCAGGACAUAGCUAUGGAUUUUGUAGAAGGGUUACCAUCUUCUGGCCAUAAAAAUGCUAUACUAGUGGUGGUGGAUAGACUUACCAAAUAUGGUCACUUGUUAGCUCUCAAACACCCAUUCUCAACAUAAGAUGUGGUUGAUCUAUUUUUGAAAGAUAUCUACAAAUUACAUGGGCUACCUAAGACUAUUAUCUCUGAUAGAGACAGUGUAUUCACCAGCCAGGUUUGGCAGAAAUUAUUCAAAUAUAUGGGAAUCAAAUUGAAUAUGUCAACCUCCUGCCAUCCCCAAACAGAUGGUCAGAUAGAAAUAUUAAACAAGUGUUUGGAAGCUUAUUUACGAGCUAUGGUGUUUAACAACCCCAAGCAAUGGGUGAAGUGGUUACCCUUGGCUGAGUGGUGGUAUAACACAAAUCAUCCCAGUGCCUUAAAGACUACUCCUUUUCAGGCACUAUAUGGUUUUGCACCACCACAAAUACCAUUACGGUCCUUACCCAAAUCAGUACAGACACAAGCUGGAGCAUGCAUAGCCCAAAGACAACAGAUUCUGCUGCUCCUUAAGGACAACCUCAUCCAAGUUCAAGUAGGGAUGAAGUUUUAUGCGGAUAGGAACAGAUCAGACAUGGUUCUAAAUGUGGGGGACUGGGUAUACCUAAAGCUUCAGCCUUUCAGGCAGGCUUCAGUUGCAGUGAGGAAGAAUCUGAAACUAAGUGCAAGAUUUUAUGGCCCCUACAAAAUUCUACAAAGGAUAGGAUCAGUAGCUUACUGUUUGGAGCUGCCUCCGAAUUCUUAGAUCCAUCCUGUGUUCCACGUGUCCCAACUGAAGAAAUGCAUUGGUCCUGAUAUUAUUCCACAACCACAACCUCCAAUUUGUGAUGAGAAUGGUGGUGUAUUAGUUCAUCCAGUAGCUAUCUUGCAACAAAAAAUGGUAAAGGUGAACAAUGGGGUUGGAGUCAAAGUUUUGGUUCAAUGGGAUAAUUUGAGAGUUGAGGAUGCAACUUGGGAAGAUUGGGGGUAUAUCAAAAGCUGAUUUCCAGAUUUUUUUGCUAAUCUUUGACCUUGAGGACAAGGUCAUUGUUUUCAUUGGAGGGGUAUUGUUAGAUGUCGG